rnacentral:lncRNA from 1 species
GGCUCGGGGAGCAGCCGGCGGCGCCGCGGCCGCGCAGCCUUUGUCUCGGGCCGCCGGGCGCGCGGGGCCCAGCGCAGGCAGGCCACGCGGGGACGGAGGAGGCAGAGAGGACGGGCUGUGAUGGAGAAACGGGAGAGGAGCCGGCCAGGCGCCACCGUCACCACCAUCACCAACCACCACCACCAUCACCAUCACUGACUGUCGCCCAUCCCAGCUCCCCUGCCUCACCUCCCAUCUCAUAUCCCUGUGCAGUGCCAACUUUAUCAGAUCAUCUCUUUUUCACUGGGCCCCAGGGACGGCUGACCAUUCAGAACAAACACAGGGACAGAGCCCCAGGGCUGUUGGGAAGCCCAGCACCAGAGGGCAUGAACCUUCUUAGGAGAAGUAAAACUUACAAAAAACAAGCUCUUAAACCCUCCGCCUUUUCCCCUAUUGGUUAGAAAGUGAAUCUUAAACUGUGUUUUAUGUUCUAGUCUAAUAAAAGACAGCUAGA